rnacentral:rRNA from 1 species
UUUUAUGGAGAGUUUGAUCCUGGCUCAGGAUAAACGCUGGCGGCGUGCCUAAUACAUGCAAGUCGAGCGAACGGACGAGAAGCUUGCUUCUCUGAUGUUAGCGGCGGACGGGUGAGUAACACGUGGAUAACCUACCUAUAAGACUGGGAUAACUUCGGGAAACCGGAGCUAAUACCGGAUAAUAUUUUGAACCGCAUGGUUCAAAAGUGAAAGACGGUCUUGCUGUCACUUAUAGAUGGAUCCGCGCUGCAUUAGCUAGUUGGUAAGGUAACGGCUUACCAAGGCAACGAUGCAUAGCCGACCUGAGAGGGUGAUCGGCCACACUGGAACUGAGACACGGUCCAGACUCCUACGGGAGGCAGCAGUAGGGAAUCUUCCGCAAUGGGCGAAAGCCUGACGGA